ensembl:lncRNA
CAGGUAGCCUAGUGGUUAGAGCAGGUAGCCUAGUGGUUAGAGGAGGCAGGUAGCCUAGUGGUUAGAGGAGGCAGGUAGCCUAGUGGUUAGAGGAGGCAGGUAGCCUAGUGGUUAGAGGAGGCAGGUAGCCUAGUGGUUAGAGGAGGCAGGUAGCCUAGUGGUUAGAGGAGGCAGGUAGCCUAGUGGUUAGAGGAGGCAGGUAGCCUAGUGGAUAGAGGCAGGUAGCCUAGUGGUUAGAGCAGGUAGCCUAGUGGUUAGAGCAGGUAGCCUAGUGGUUAGAGGGGGCAGGUAGCCUAGUGGUUAGAGCAGGUAGCCUAGUGGUUAGAGGAGGCAGGUAGCCUAGUGGUUAGAGGAGGCAGGUAGCCUAGUGGUUAGAGGAGGCAGGUAGCCUAGUGGUUAGAGCAGGUAGCCUAGUGGUUAGAGCAGGUAGCCUAGUGGUUAGAGG